AGAACGAACGCUGGCGGCGUGGAUAAGACAUGCAAGUCGAGCGCUGAUUACGGGGUAGCAAUACUCCGUGGUCGGAGCGGCGCAAGGGUGCGUAACACGUGGGUAAUCUGCCAUGAAGUUCGGGAUAACUUGCUGAAAGGCGAGCUAAUACCGGAUGUGACACUCGGAAGACAUCUUCUGAUUGUUAAAGUUGGGGACCGUAGGCCUGACGCUUCUUGAUGAACCCGCGGCCUAUCAGCUUGUUGGUGGGGUAAUGGCCUACCAAGGCGACGACGGGUA
rnacentral:rRNA from 1 species